rnacentral:rRNA from 1 species
UACAGAGGGGGCAAGCGUUGUUCGGAAUUAUUGGGCGUAAAGGGUGCGUAGGCGGUUUGGCAAGUCUUGUGUGAAAUCUUUGGGCUCAACCCAAAGCCUGCACGAGAAACUGCCGGGCUUGAGUAUGGGAGAGGUGAGUGGAAUUUCCGGUGUAGCGGUGAAAUGCGUAGAUAUCGGAAGGAACACCUGUGGCGAAAGCGGCUCACUGGACCAUAACUAACGCUGAGGCACGAAAGCUAGGGGAGCAAACAGG